CAACACAGAGACACACAGAUACACAGAGACAGAGACACAGAGAGACACACAGAUACACAGAGACAGAGACACAGAGAGACAGACACAGAGAGACACAGAGACACAGAGAGACACACAGAGACACACAGAGAGACAGACACAGAGACACAGAGAGAGACACAGAGAGAGAGACAGACACAGAGACACACAGAGACACAGAAAGAGACACAGAGACACACAGAGAGACAGACACAGAGACACAGAGAGACACACAGAGACACAGAGAGAGAGACAGACACAGAGACACACAGAGACACAGAGAGAGAGACAGAGAGAGAGACACAGAGACACACAGAGAGACAGAGACACACACAGAGACACAGAGAGGCAGACACAGAGAGAGACACAGAGACAGAGAGAGACAGAGACACACAUAGAGACAGAGAGACAGAGAGAGACACAGAGACAGACAGAGAGACACAGAGACAGACACAGAGAGAGACACAGAGACAGAGAGAGACACAGAGAGAGACAGAGACACAGAGACAGACACAGAGACACAAAGACACAGAGAGAGAGACAGACACAGAGAGACAGAGACACACACAGAGAGACAGACACACAGAGACAGACAGAGAGACACAGAGACACAACGAGAGACACAGAGACAGACACAGAGAGAGACAGAGACAGACACACAGAGAGAGAGACAGCGAGAGACACAGAGACACAGAGACAGACACAGAGAGACAGAAAGAGAGACACACAGAGACACAAAGACAGAGAGAGAGACACCGAGAGAUUGUUAUAGUUGUUGUUAGUGAUUUAAUCUGACACACAGUCACCUAAACGUGUUUAAUUUGCGCACGAGGCGCUUGGGACUGAGGCCACGUGGCGUGCAGCCAGUCGAGCCUCGCGUGCGUUGCGCAGUGUGCCUGCUGACGUCAGGCCGUGUGAUAAUCCAAGACAAUCAUCAUACAUCACCUCACAAUCAUUUUCAUUUUACCAGGAAGGCCGAGCAGGUGACAACCGGCGGCCAUGGACAGGGGCCGAGGCAGCGGCGGACGAGACGACCCGAGAAGGAUCGCCGACAUCUCGGCCAGGCUGCGGCAGCUGAUUGUCCCGGACAGGGGGCAGCCGUCGGCCAGGGAGGGGGGCCGAGCCGCGGGCGGCGGCAGGGAAUCGAGGCGGGAGAGGGCCGAACAAGCGAGGCAGAGGGAGUCGGCGGAGCGGGCCAGGGAGGCCAGAGAGCACAACGCGUUCAUGAGGGAGCAGUACCAGUUGAAUCAGAGGUUCGCCGACAGGCGACGGGAACUCGCGAGGCAAGGGGUGGACGUCUACCGCACCGCGCCGGACGAGGGGUGGA